UUUGACCUCGAAUCAGGUAGGAAUACCCGCUGAAC
rnacentral:rRNA from 1 species